CACGUAGGUGGCAUGAUAAGUCAUAGGUGAAAGCCCUCGGCUCAACCGAGGAACUGCCUGUGAAACUGUCGUGCUUGAGUCCGGGAGGGGGGAGCGGAAUUCCCAGUGUAGCGGUGAAAUGCGUAGAUACUGGGAGGAACACCGGUGGCGAAGGCGGCUCCCUGGACCGGUACUGACACUGAGGUGCGAAAGCGUGGGUAGCAAACAGGAUUAGAUACCCUGGUAGUCC
rnacentral:rRNA from 1 species